rnacentral:rRNA from 1 species
CCGCCUGGGGAGUACGGCCGCAAGGUUAAAACUCAAAUGAAUUGACGGGGGCCCGCACAAGCGGUGGAGCAUGUGGUUUAAUUCGAUGCAACGCGAAGAACCUUACCUACUCUUGACAUCCAGAGAAUUUAGCAGAGAUGCUUUAGUGCCUUCGGGAACUCUGAGACAGGUGCUGCAUGGCUGUCGUCAGCUCGUGUUGUGAAAUGUUGGGUUAAGUCCCGCAACGAGCGCAACCCUUAUCCUUUGUUGCCAGCGAUUCGGUCGGGAACUCAAAGGAGACUGCCGGUGAUAAACCGGAGGAAGGUGGGGAUGACGUCAAGUCAUCAUGGCCCUUACGAGUAGGGCUACACACGUGCUACAAUGGCGUAUACAAAGAGAAGCGACCUCGCGAGAGCAAGCGGAACUCAUAAAGUACGUCGUAGUCCGGAUUGGAGUCUGCAACUCGACUCCAUGAAGUCGGAAUCGCUAGUAAUCGUAGAUCAGAAUGCUACGGUGAAUACGUUCCCGGGCCUUGUACACACCGCCCGUCACACCAUGGGAGUGGGUUGCAAAAGAAGUAGGUAGCUUAACCUUCGGGAGGGCGCUUACCACUUUGUGAUUCAUGACUGGGGUGAAGUCGUAACAAGGUAACCGUAGGGGAACCUGCGGUUGGAUCACCUCCUUA